CCUCAUUCCUUCACGGCUCUAGCAACGAUUCCUUCACUGCUCCACCUCUUUUAUUCUUGCGAUUCUCAUCCCCUCUCUCUCUCUCUCUCUCUCUCUCUCUCUCUCUCUAUUAGGGAUUUGAUUUAUGAAUUUUAUUUUUCAGAUUCUCACAAGUUGUUCGAUUCUUUGGGAAACAAUAAGGAUUGUAUUCAAUCUGCUUAUUCAAGUUGGGAGGGAACAACACAUGACAAUCGAAUAUUAUGGGAAGCCAUCAACAUUCCUUGUCUGAAUUUUUCCCAUCCACCACCAGGAAAAUACUAUCUGGUUGAUUCUGGUUACACACAUAGUCCUGGUUACAUGGCUCCUUUCAAGAAUGUUAGAUAUCAUCAAUAAGAUUUUAAACAAAGACAGCCACAAGGAGCAGAGGAGCUAUUUAAUUUUACAAAUUGAUCAUUAAGAACCGUUAUUGAGAGAUCAUUUGGAGUUUUGAAGAAGUGUUUCCCUAUUUUAAAGAUGAUGCCCUCAUAUAGUUUCAAGACACAAGUAUUGAUUGUGAUUGCUUGUGUGACAAUACACAACUUUAUCAGAAAUCAAUUAGCAUCAGAUUGGCUUUUUGAAAAAGCAGAGAGGGGAGAACUUGAUGAUGAAGACAGUGACAGUGACGAUGAUAGUGAUGAUGAUGAGGUUGUGAACAAUGCAAAUGUGGUAGGCCGUACGCAACAACAACAAUGGGAGGCGUAUCGAAAACAAAUUGCAAAUCAGAUUAAAGAAGCCUAUCAUAAUUGAUGUUAAGCAGAUGUGUUUAUUGUGUGCUUUAACAAUCACUGGGACCUACAAACUGGGACCUACUUUGUAUACUUUGGUUUUAUCAAUUUCUUAAAAACAAAUUUUAUAGAUGGACAACCAAUGGGAGUGUAUGCCAAAGCAUCAAUUAGGCGUGAUUUCUUGUUUUCAUUUGGG